rnacentral:SRP_RNA from 1 species
GCUGGGAGUGUGGCGGCUCCUGUAAUCCGGCUACUCGGAGGCUGGUUAUGUUGGAGGGUCUGAGGUCGGGGGUAACUGUUGGUGCGGGGUUCACGUUGACUGGGCGUCCGCACUAAGCUCGCCAUCAAUAUGGACACCCUGGAGAAGUCCGGGGUGGCCAGGUUAGCUAAGGAGAGGCGAACCGGGCCAGAGGGGGCAACCAAGCAGCCAAAAGUCUCCGUGGCGGGCAGUAGUGGGAUCGCGCCCGGGAGUGGGACCGCAUUGACAGCCUGGUUGAUAUGAUCCAACACAUAACUUU